AUAAUGCAACACAAAGGCAAGACAAAAGAUGGCUACAAGAGAUUCUAAGAGCACAUGGUGCUCCUUUGUGAUUGGCUGGGAGAUGACAUUCAUCGCAAUCCAAAGAAGAGCUGGAAAAUUCAGUCAUGUCACUACUGCAGCUGUUCUCUUCAACCACCGGGAUGAAAUUAAAUGAUGGGUUUCAUUCAAAUCUUCAGGCUUAAGAACAUCUUCUGAGAGGUUCAUUUCGGUUCGCAGUCGCUGCUCUAAAUUGAGUCGCAUGACGGUGUGGAUGUAGUGGGUCCGCACACGCUUGGAGUCAAAUUCGAGGUGUCCCUCGGUAUUUCCACAGCCGUCCUUAGUGCAUCCACACGGGAAGCUGAAGCGGUCCACCUGUGGGGGAAAGGGACCACACGAGGGUGAGCCUUAUAUCACAGAUGUCAAACACAAUGCCCGGAGGAAAGAUCCAGCCCGCAACAUCAUUUUGUGUGUCAAGUGACUGUAAACCUUGUGCUAAUAUAAAAUGUAGAAAACAUUUCUAGAGUUCUCAAUGAACGUUUGAGGACUACAGAAAUCUGAGAAUAUUUACCGCCACCCCUGCCCCCUCAAAAAACAUCUAAAGUGAAUAUAAAUGAAAAAAGAGUUUAAGAUUUUUUUUUAAAUAAAAAAAAAAAAUACAGAAUAUCUACUGUUUUGCCCGUUUUGCUUUUUUUUUUUUGUAAAUGUACAUGUAAACAAAUGGGUGGGAGGAAUAAAGCCCUCCCUGUCAAACUAAAUUGGAUGCCUAGCCUGGUCAAUGACAGUGCAACUUGAGAAUUCACAGCCAGUCCCUCCAGUUGAAAUGAAUUGGAUGCCUAUCGUUGUCAAUGGCAGGCAAGGAGUUAAAAAAAAUUUAAUUGCCUCUUACCUCAUAGUAAUAUGAAACUCUACAGUAACGACAAUGUAGAUCUUUUUGUAUUGGCGCAUUUCUGAUCGUUUCAAUAUUGAUAUUGCGUAGCACCCCCCCACUGGUGGUAGUGUUAUCAAAAGGGUGAAAACGAACCCGUUUCCCCCGAUUUGACGAGGUAUUUGGCUAAUUGUCAAAUACAGUACAAUGCUAGCAACACUAUAGUGAACCAUUAGCAUUACAACACAGACAUUUGCCUGACAUAACAGUGCUAAUCAGUGGACGUCUCAAAAAUUUGAUUUUUGCACCAAAAAUAAGUACACAAUGUUUAAGGCCAAAUCAAAAGAAAAUUAAUGUAGGCAGGUUAUAUAUACAGUGUAUCACAAAAGUGAGUACACCUUAACUUUCCCAGCGUUAUUUCGUUGUGUAAAUGCUUUUAUAAUGAUCAUAAAAAUAUGUAGAUUUUUAAACAUGAAGAAAACUUGCGGUUUUUUUUCUGCCAACUGAGAAUUUGUUACGAAAGCCACUUUUUUUAUGCACACAAAGGCAACACAAAUGUGAUCCUUUUGAAUCUUCUCUGUGUGUCAGCAAAACAGCAUGUUUUUUUUUGUUUUUUUUAAACUUUCCCUGUGUUAUUUCGUUGUGUAAAUGCUUUUAUAAUGAUCAUAAAAAUAUGUAGAAUAUUUAAACAUUAAGAAACGUUUUUUUCUGCCAACUCGAAGAAAUGAAAAUAAAUUGCUGCUGCUGUGUUUUUUUUCCCCGCGUCACUCCAAUUCGGGCCUGCAAAUCUAGUUAAUUGAUCGGGCUCGGGCCGGGUCGGGCUUCAAUACCAGCGGGCCGUGUCGGGUCGGGCUGGAUUUUUUUAGGCCCGAUCUAACCUCUACUAUCUCUCUGCUCUCUCGAUUGCAAAAAACUGAUAUUCCCUCAUGUUGAAACAGAUUGUUAUGGCUGCUAAAAUGCUGCUACACUUCAUUUUAAUUCAUUAUUUUUUAUUGUUAUGUGGUAGUUACUGAUUGCAUUUCUAAGUUUAUUGCACAUAUAUAGUGGGCUAGGCCUGCAUUUUACUUUUGUUCUACAUUGCAAUUUAGUUGAUGUUUUGUUUGCAACUGAACUGAUCCCUGGAUUGAUAUUGCGAUAAAGAUGCUUCUGCACUACAAUAUUUUCUUUGUCGCUUUCUUUAAUAUUUACUUUAAUAUUUUUAUUGAUGGGUCGUUUUGACUAAAAUACAGUGACUGUUAUUACUGAUUUUGCACUGGAGUUUAGAUGUUGCACUGUGUGAAAGGCUGCUACUGUGUGUAAAAAAAAGAGAAAGCCCUGGUCUCAAUCAAAGCACUAAUUAAAUGCUGUGAUUUAAAAAAAAAUUUUUUUUUUAAUAUAUAUACUGUAUAUCUGAAAGUAUUUUCAUUUGACUUCAACCAGGGAUGACACAAAAGCCAAUAAAAAGUUGUUUAACCCUUUAACACCUAAGCCUAUUUUGGCCGAAUUUGCAUGCCUUUGAUGUUGCCUUUAUUAUUUCAAAGAAAAAACUGUUCACAAUGGCCAAGUUGGGUCCCUUUUUCAGGAUACCUUGAACUUCAUGUCCAAACUGUUGUUUUCUUCACUGACCAACUUUAAUCCACAUUUUGGAUCCAAAAAGACAA